UUGUGCAAAUGUAAUUUAAUUGAAGUCAAAUGAUUAAAAUUCAAGGUGGAAGAAAGUUUUCACAGCAACAAAGUUUUGAAAAGAGUUAUUUGAUGUUUUAGUCGAAAGUUCUUUCCCAUCUCAGCUGCUUUUCAGUAAAAGCUGCAGUGGCUGAGGGUAACGCCUUCUGUCCAGCAGCAGCAGCAUCGACCCUCCCCAGACACCGCCUCCACCCCCACCCCUUUUACCCUGUAAAUUAUAGCAGCACUUUAGCUAAUGAAAGAGUUGAGGACCGGGCACUAAUAAAAGCCAUUAAGUGAAUAAAGCACUUCCCCCCUCCAACAAAAUUAAAGAAUCUACCCAUUUAGAGAGGGCGGACUCUGUAUUAAUAUUUAUGAAAUGCGGAACCAGAGGCCCCCCCAAACUCCCCAAGUCUUGUCCAAUCCCAGACUGACCAAGUCUUCAUUGCCAGAGCGCCUAUCCCAAGAGAACAUCACCAACCCCUCCUAGCUUGAAGGAGGGGCAGGAGAUGGGGUCUUGAAGGGUGCCGAGGACGCAGUCGGGACAGUCUUUCUCCAGUAGGGCAAGCUGGAAGACUUCACCCCCAAGAACCUGCUCAGAUCAUCCAGCCUUCACCCAUCAACCGGCUGCAUGCUUGGGAAGGUGGGUUUCUCGGAAAGACCAAAUAAGUUAAGAAAAUUUGCAGAAGAUGUCAGUAAAAUUAAGCGUAAGUUAACUCUUCUAGUGUUUACCAGUUUGUCAAACUGGUUGAGAGAUUGUAGACUAAAAAACAUUGUCAUUAUUUUCUUAACAUUUGGUUUGUCCUAGACCAGAUUUACAAUUAUAUUCCAAACCGAUAGUCAUAGAUGACUCGAUGGCAGCUCUUGAAGGCUCUCUAACAAGGUGAGCCUCUUGAAGGAGGAAAACCUUCAACAAAAGCGAGGUAAGUAAGCACAUUAUUGUGUCAUAAUCAUCUGUGCAUUAAAACCAUCCCAUCAAACUCAAUUCAUCCCCACAAAACAUCCUCAUUCUGAAAAACAGCCACCCGUUAUGCCGCCACCACCUAGCAUUUGCAUCCAAAGUAUCCCCAUUUCCAUGACAUCAGGUACCUUGAAACGCAGAGUUUCUCUUUCUUGCAUCGAUAUUCAUUAUGUUGUCAUUUCAUCACACAAAGUGGUUCAGUUGUCCGAGCUCUAAGUUGAUUAUCGCACCGCCGCGUUCUCAUUUUGGUAAGAUGUCCCCUGGGAGCUGAAAGAGACUUGAGAAGAUAACAAGAUUGUGAGACGGUUUGGGGAAAACAGCUCCUUUAGUCUGAUGGUAUCAUGACUCUUGACAUUGUACUCAAUGACCGUUAACGUGGUUAGGACUAAAAUGCCCAAAGUGGUUGUAUCUUUAGGUUGAGGAGAUGGCACAUGUCCUCAGAUAGACAGCAGCGAUACUGAGAGGUCAACGAGUCGCCGAGGUUUGUUUCGAGUCAAUUACAAGCAAAAUCUCAAAGUCCGGUCUCUUCGAGAUGUGAUGAUUCUUAACGAGAUCACCUAAAUUCUGUUUCCAUUGAUCACUGGUAGAAUGCCCUCUGGACAACGUUUCUCAGGCCUUCUGCAAAUAUUUUCUUAAAGCGUUUGAAUGUUUUAAUGUUUGUGCGAUGAGAUAGAGGUAGGAUUUUUAGACUUUUUUUUCCUUCAGUUGCAUGUAGAGGAGUUGGGCGAGACGGGCGAGAGGGUGGGGUUUGACGCAGUUCGUGCGCAGGAAAGGGUGUAGCCCUUUUUUUCCGCAGUGAGCACGACCUAUGACUAAUCCUUUUUUUUAAUUAUUCUGCAGAUGUUCUGAACCACCGAAGCUCUUAUCUUUGUGUGACCACUGGUUAUUUUUUUAAGAACACAGCUAUGAGUCAGGAUCCCUUCUCGCAUUACGUUUAGGACUUUUUGAAUUUUUACGUGGCGGAGAUGACUGAAGUGGACCAGCCUUCAAAAGAACCCAAGACAAAUGGAAAAUUCUGUAUCUUUUGCAAAAUAAUUUUGUUUUUUAGGAUCUGAACACUUCAACAGGGCACAACUAAGAAAGCCAUCAUCAAUAAGUACUUUAUGUAUUAAAAACCUUAAUACUUUUAAUAUGAAGUAUGUUUCACAUCAUGAUGAAUGUAAAAAUGUAAAGGUCUGACCAAUAAAUACUAUUUAAACCUCC